UACGUAGGGGGCAAGCGUUGUCCGGAUUUAUUGGGCGUAAAGAGCGUGUAGGCGGCCAGGUAGGUCUGCUGUGAAAACUCGAGGCUUAACCUCGAGCUGUCGGCGGAAACCAUCUGGCUAGAGUCCGGAAGAGGAGAAUGGAAUUCCCGGUGUAGCGGUGAAAUGCGCAGAUAAUCGGGAAGAACACCCGUGGCGAAGGCGGUUCUCUGGGACG
rnacentral:rRNA from 1 species